rnacentral:rRNA from 1 species
CAGUCGCCGCGGGAAUACGUAGGGUGCAAGCGUUAAUCGGAAUUACUGGGCGUAAAGCGUGCGCAGGCGGUUUGUUAAGACAGAUGUGAAAUCCCCGGGCUCAACCUGGGAAUGGCAGUGGAUACUGGCUCGCUAGAGUGUGUCAGAGGAUGGUGGAAUUCCCGGUGUAGCGGUGAAAUGCGUAGAGAUCUGGAGGAACAUCAGUGGCGAAGGCGGCCAUCUGGGACAACACUGACGCUGAGGCACGAAAGCGUGGGGAGCAAACAGGGUUAGAUACCCGCGUAGUCCCUGUCUCUUAUAC